rnacentral:rRNA from 1 species
UACGAGGGGGGCAAGCGUUGUUCGGAAUUAUUGGGCGUAAAGGGCGCGUAGGCGGUGCGGUAAGUCACCUGUGAAAACUCUGGGCUCAACUCAGAGCCUGCAGGCGAAACUGCCGUGCUGGAGUGUGGGAGAGGUGCGUGGAAUUCCCGGUGUAGCGGUGAAAUGCGUAGAUAUUGGGAAGAACACCGGUGGCGAAGGCGGCGCUCUGGACCGAGACUGACGCUGAGGCGCGAAGGCGUGGGGAGCAAACAGG